UCCCAUAAAUUAAAGUAAAAUCUCUUUAAUUUCAACAGUUUGGUCAUUUAAUUUUCUAUAAUCAAUACAAAAUCUCCAAGUAAAAUCCUUCUUAACUAAUAGGACAGGAGAGGAGUAUGGACUAGAACUAGGCUGUAUCACUCCAUUAGCUAGCAUCUCAGUGACCAAUUUUUCAAUUUCAGCCUUUUGAAAGUGGGGAUAUCUAUAGGGUUCUGACAUUAAUAAUUGGGGUAUUAUCUUGGAGGGGUAUCGAAUGGAUCUAGGUUCUAAAUGGAGGCAAAGACUUAGGUUCUUCAAAUAAGUCCUUAUAUUUAUCUAGUAGCAAUUUCAUUACCUGAUUCCUCAACAACAAAAGAAUGAGCUGCAGGUGCAACAGAAUGACCCACAAGCUGCUUCUGAUGUUCUGGAACUUCAAUACAAAACAAUGGACUCUGAAAAUCCUUCCCCUGCACAUGCAAUAACUCCUGUACAUCCUCACAAGGCAGCAACUGAAAAUUGUCACUAUGUUCCAGCAUACCACACAAAGUAACCUGCUUCCCAUCCUGCAUAAAAGGCACCUUAGAAGCCUCAAAAUCAAAUAAAAUUAGAUUAAAUGUCUUCAUCCGAUCUACUCCAAGAAUUAUGUCAAAACUCCCCAAAUCCAAUACUUGCAAAUAAGAAAAAAAAAAAUUAUUCUUUACCCCACCUUCCAUGGAAACUUAAAACAAGUACUAGAUGAAAUUAAUUUCCUACCAUCAGCUACUGAAAUAGGAACAGCAGCAGUACUUACCAAAGGCAACUUCAAUUCCUUAUCAACUCUAGUAUCUAUAAAACUCUUAGUGCUGCACCAUCAACUAGGAUCAAUAACUUCCUAUUUUUAUGCUGCCCAAUCACCUUAUUUGUCUCCACACCCUGACUGCCCUCAAUAGCAUGCGCAGAAAGUGUUACUUCCCCCAUACUAUUCAACACAUCUUCCCCUUUCUCCUGUCCAACAGCUGUACACUCCACUUCCUCACAUUCAACAGGAUGCUCAACCCAACAAUCCCCUUCUUGAUCAUCUACAGAUAAUGCCAUCACAGUCUUCUGUUUACACACAUACCCAGGAAAAUUGGUUUCAAACAGAGUUGAAUUUCAAAUAAGGAUCCAUGUAGUUGAUCCCAACUAGUUUGGGAUUGUGGCACAGUUCUUCUUCUUCUUGUUGUAUAUCCUUAAAUCAAAGCCAAAGAAGAUGAUGUUUUGUAGAGUAUUUUGCACUCUCUCUCUCUCUCUCUCGUCGUCACAAGUUCAUAUUUUUUAUUUCUUAACUUUAGCUGUUAUUUUUUAUUUUUUUGUUGGUUCUUCUGCCUUUCCAAUGAGGCAUCCUGCCAUUAAUUGUUAUUGUAUUAUUCUUUAUCAUCAUUACUCCGCCCUUUGCUUUGACAGUUGUUUCUCUGCUCUACUUGUCCAGGCUAAUCAAAGGCCUUUCAUUUCUUUAAUGAUGGCCUACAUUUUUAAUGCAAUGACACAUUUAGCAAUUGAAGUUCGGCUUAUGGCUUUCAAGUGUUUUGAUCUCAUUGUACAGCAUUAUCCUGCUGUGUUUUCCUUGUAUGCUAAAAAGGUAACUUAAUUUGGAUCAUGCGAUUCAGACGUUUGGAGUGCAUCAUUGAUGCUUUGUUUUUGAAUACACACACACACUCUAUUGAUGACCAUAGCUGGUGAUAGAAACUGCAUCAUGUUUUGAGUUCAAAUGUCAAAUUUCUGUUAAUUAUUCAUUUCUUAUAAAAGUACAAGAUUAUGGGUCAUAUUAAUGUUGAAAUGGAAGGGAAAUGAACAAUUUAUACAUGGUAUAACUAGAGGAGUGCAUAAUGACCACGGAUACAUUAUUUUAGUUUUUCACCUUAUAGUUGCUUGAGGGACAUCUUUCUUUUACUUUAAAUCUUCAAGAUUUCUUUGUGUUUCUACAUAGAUUGUUUAGGGUAUGAGUGAAUCAUUUUGUUGGUGCAUAGGUUGUAGGACUUUUAUUUAAUGGCAAAAAAAGUACGCAUUCAGUUGUCAAUCAAUCUCAUAUAUAAUCGAAUCUUAAAAAAAGUUAGGAAUUCAUCCAAUUCCUCACCUAUUGUCCAUAUAUUGUCAAUAUGAACUUUAGUUGAUAAGAUUUUUGCAAAUGAUCUUUCAUUUGUUGUUGAUUAAUAGGUUCUUCAAAAUUAUGCGGAUAUUUUGUUGAAGAACCAGUUCUAUUUAGAAGACAAGGGCAAGCUCGAGAGUGCGCUUGCUAGUUUGGUGCGCUGCUUAUUGCUAUUGCCAUCUAAUAAAGUAGAAGUUGACUCAUUCAAGAAGGUUCUCUCCCCAAAUUUAUUGCAAAGUAGAAGUUUUUUAAGUCUUUUCCUUUGUUGCUUUUUGAUUGCCUAUUAUUUUCUAAAAAUCUCUUCUUCAAUUUGAAAGGAAGUCCCAGGGCAAGAUUUGUUGCAUGCUUAUGAACCUGACAGGCCUACAGAAUUUGCUGAUUUUUCUGUCAUCAUCAAUGAACUAAAGGAUUUCGUUCCAGUUUUAGUCAAUUGCUUCCAAGCCUUUAUUCCAUUAAUUCAUAGUGCGCCGCAAUUGGAUGCACAAUCAUUUGAUUGCUUACGUAACAUACUUCCUAGCAUUGACCUUAUAGUCAAAUUUUUUGUUUAUGCGACUGACAAGGGUAAUCCAGAAUCAUAUGCUUCUAUGUGGGAUCAAGGCAUCUCAUCAGUGCUACUAAAGAAGUUCCUAGGUGUAUUUCCUUUUAAUGUAGUGCACUCAGAAAAGGUAGGACCUUAUGUUUACUUGCAAUGUGUUUCUCCAUCAAUUUGUUUGGCUUAGAAGAUUGGAAAUAGGCGAAAAGAUUGCAUAAGAAGAAAG
rnacentral:misc_RNA from 1 species